UGUACACACCGCCCGUCGCUCCUACCUGAUUGGGUGUGCUGGUGAAGUGUUUGGAUCGGUAUCAAUGGGGGGCAACCUCUGUUGGUACUGAGAAGAACAUU
rnacentral:rRNA from 1 species